rnacentral:tRNA from 1 species
GACCGCGUAGCACAGUGGCAGUGUGUUUGGCCUGUGACCAAGAGGUCGCUGGUUUGAAUCCGGCUGCUGUGU